rnacentral:rRNA from 1 species
UACGUAGGGGGCAAGCGUUGUCCGGAAUCAUUGGGCGUAAAGAGCGUGUAGGCGGUUCGGUAAGUCGGCUGUGAAAGUCCAGGGCUCAACCCUGGGAUGCCGGUCGAUACUGCCGGACUAGAGUUCGGAAGAGGCGAGUGGAAUUCCCGGUGUAGCGGUGAAAUGCGCAGAGUAUCGGGAGGAACACCUAUGGCGAAGGCAGCUCGCUGGGACGUUACUGACGCUGAGACGCGAAAGCGUGGGGAGCAAACAGG